GAAAAGGCAAACCCUGAAUUUCCGUGUCCAACUUUGACUGUCCGUCUUAUAUGAAAUUUUUUUUAUAAUUCGUAUUUUUAUUGUUGUUAGAUGAUAAAACAUGAUUAGUAUUUUACGCGUGACUUGUCUUUUAAAAUUUUUUCAUAAUUUUUUCAAAUAAGACGGACGGUCAAACGUUGGGCAUGGAAAUCAAGGUUUGUCUUUUUU
rfam:Oryza glumipatula chromosome 5, whole genome shotgun sequence.